GUAGGGAAGGACGAACAAGGGCAAAUAGGUAAUUCUAAUAUUAACUUUGGGAUAAUUCCUAAUGUAAAUAGUACAUUAUAAUGGGCCCAUCUGUCAUAGAUAUAUGACCUACUCUAUUAACACGUGUAUUGCUCUUUAUUUCUCAAGAAACACGUGUGCUACUAAUUGUGUUGUCUUUUUCAUUGGAACAUUUAACAAAAAACUUGUGUAAAGUGAGCUUAUUGUUCUUCUUCUGGGAAUGAUUUCUACCGUCCCUUCAGUUUUAAAUCCCUUUCCCACUGGUAUUAUACCUUUUCCUGCCAGUGUAGAACCUAGCAGAUAUCGAUUAAUCUAAUUUUAUGUUAUUUUUAUUUUGCCUUUAGGUCAAUUUUUCAUUGGAUUGGUUUGAAUUUUCUUUCAAUUUUGUUGAUUUCUUGGGUAUUUAGGGUUGUUAUACCGUUCCAUGCACUACAUUUUAGAGUUCAUUGUAAUUUGUAGCACUGGCCGUUUUUCUCCUUCUCCUCUCCGACUUGCCUAUUUACAAAUUUGUAUUUAAUAUAAUAAUUUCUCCUAUUCAGGUCUAUUACUUCAAGGAGAUAGGGGAGAAUUGCAAGCAUGAGAUGCCGGAAUGGAGCAGAAGCUUGAAAUUCAAACAAUCUAUCAAAUUUUUAUAUCGUUAUACAUCAGUUUACAGGCUAGCUUCCUGGUACGUAUGAAUGACAAGACUCAAAUUGGACAUAGAAGACGGUUUCCAUGUUCUAAGGUAUGA